GACGAACGCUGGCGGCGUGCUUAACACAUGCAAGUCGAACGGAAAGGCCCUGCUUUUGUGGGGUGCUCGAGUGGCGAACGGGUGAGUAACACGUGAGUAACCUGCCCUUGACUUUGGGAUAACUUCAGGAAACUGGGGCUAAUACCGGAUAGGAGCUCCUGCUGCAUGGUGGGGGUUGGAAAGUUUCGGCGGUUGGGGAUGGACUCGCGGCUUAUCAGCUUGUUGGUGGGGUAGUUGCUUACCAAGGCUUUGACGGGUAGCCGGCCUGAGAGGGUGACCGGCCACAUUGGGCCUGAGAUACGGCCCAGACUCCUACGGGCGGCAGCAGUGGGGAAUAUUGCACAAUGGGCGGAAGCCUGAUGCAGCAACGCCGCGUGCGGGAUGACGGCCUUCGGGUUGUAAACCGCUUUCGCCUGUGACGAAGCGUGAGUGACGGUAAUGGGUAAAGAAGCACCGGCUAACUACGUG
rnacentral:rRNA from 1 species